GAUGAACGCUGGCGGCGUGCCUAAUACAUGCAAGUCGAGCGAACAGAUGAGGAGCUUGCUCCUCUGACGUUAGCGGCGGACGGGUGAGUAACACGUGGAUAACCUACCUAUAAGACUGGGAUAACUUCGGGAAACCGGAGCUAAUACCGGAUAAUAUAUUGAACCGCAUGGUUCAAUAGUGAAAUACGGUUUUGCUGUCACUUCUAGAUGGAUCCGCGCCGCAUUAGCUAGUUGGUAAGGUAACGGCUUACCAAGGCAACGAUGCGUAGCCGACCUGAGAGGGUGGUCGGCGACACUGGAAGUGAGACACGGUCCAGACUCCUACGGGAGGCAGCAGUAGGGAAUCUUCCGCAAUGGGCGAAAGCCUGACGGAGCAACGCCGCGUGAGUGGUGAAGGUCUUCGGAUCGGAAAACUCUCUUAUUAGGGAAGAACAGAUGUGUAAGUAACUAUGGACGUCUUGACGGUACCUAAUCAGAAAGCCACGGCUAACUACGUG
rnacentral:rRNA from 1 species